GUACACGCCGCGCUCCGCCCCGUCCUAGAGUACUAGAGAGAGAGAGUGGCGACAACUCCGUUCACUGCAAUGGUUCAGUUUUUUCACAGCAAUGGCGGAGCAUGGAGCCCCUCGGAAGUUCCCGGAAGUUAGCGCAAGCUAACUGCUGCUCAAUGUAUUUCAAUGGAGGAGCUGGUAGGAGCAACACUUGUUCGAGGAGGAGGGCAGAGUCCUGACAGAAGCAGAGAGACAGCAGAGCAUCACUCUCUGUCCUGGUCCAGCUCUGUCCUGAAGCAGCUUCAGCUGUUCUGUUCCAGCCUGAUAUUCAACUUUGUUUAGGUCUUGCUACCAUUAACAUCUUUUGUUUGUUUCCUCUCAUUUUUCCCUCCAGUUUGCAACCUAACUUCCCUUGGUUUGUUCAUUGUUUUCCUGUUCUUUUUUCUAUUUUUUGAAUAAAAAAAAGGCUCAAAUUUC